rnacentral:rRNA from 1 species
AUUGAACGCUGGCGGAAUGCUUUACACAUGCAAGUCGAACGGUAGAGGGGGCAACCCCUCGAGAGUGGCGAACGGGUGAGUAAUAUAUCGGAACGUGCCCAGUCGUGGGGGAUAACGCAGCGAAAGCUGUGCUAAUACCGCAUACGAUCUACGGAUGAAAGCGGGGGAUCGCAAGACCUCGCGCGAUUGGAGCGGCCGAUAUCAGAUUAGGUAGUUGGUGGGGUAAAGGCUCACCAAGCCAACGAUCUGUAGCUGGUCUGAGAGGACGACCAGCCACACUGGAACUGAGACACGGUCCAGACUCCUACGGGAGGCAGCAGUGGGGAAUUUUGGACAAUGGACGCAAGUCUGAUCCAGCCAUUCCGCGUGCAGGAUGAAGGCCCUCGGGUUGUAAACUGCUUUUGUACGGAACGAAAAGGUUUCUAUUAAUACUAGGAGCUCAUGACGGUACCGUAAGAAUAAGCACCGGCUAACUACGUG